UACGUAGGGGGCAAGCGUUGUCCGGAAUCAUUGGGCGUAAAGGGUCCGCAGGUGGCAAUGUAAGUCUGCUGUCAAAGAAUGAGGCUUAACCUCAUCAAGGCAGUGGAAACUACAUAGCUAGAGUACGGUCGGGGUAGAAGGAAUUCCUGGUGUAGCGGUGAAAUGCGUAGAGAUCAGGAAGAACACCGGUGGCGAAAGCGUUCUGCUAGACCUGUACUGACACUGAGGGACGAAAGCUAGGGGAGCGAAUGGG
rnacentral:rRNA from 1 species